rnacentral:lncRNA from 1 species
UGCCCUCUCCGUCCUCCGUCGGUCACGUGACGGGAAAUAAAAGCGGCGGAGGAAAGCAAGCAAGAAAAAAAAAACUUAACACAAAACAAACAAAAAAAAAAAAAAAAAGAAAAACGGAGAAAGCCCGAAGUAGAAACAGACAGACAGACAGACAGACAGGCAGGCAGACAGACAGAUAGACACAGCGCAGGGAGGUGUGCAGCCGACGGGGAGAGGCGGGUCCCGGCUAAAUGUCGGCGUAAUUCAGCUCCACCCGACGACUGGACAACACAGACGAUGGGGACCUCCGUCCAGAUGUGAAGGGAGGACAACUGGAUAUGAGAAAAACACGUAAUUAGGGAUCGUCUGAG